GAUGAACGCUCGCGGCAGGCCUAAUACAUGCAAGUCGAACGGGAUCCAGAUCAAAGCUUGCCUUGGUUUGGUGCGAGUGGCGUACGGGUGCGUAACGCGUGAGCAACCUACCCUUGUCAGGGGGAUAGCCCGGCGAAAGUCGGAUUAAUACCGCAUGACAUCAUUGAGAGGCAUCUUUCGAUGAUCAAAGAUUUAUCGGACAAGGAUGGGCUCGCGUGACAUUAGCUAGUUGGUAAGGUAACGGCUUACCAAGGCUACGAUGUCUAGGGGCUCUGAGAGGAGGAAACCCCACAAUGGAACUGAGACACGGACCAGACUGCUACGGGAGGCAGGAGUAAGGAAUAUUGGGCAAUGGACGGAAGUCUGAACCAGCCAUGCCGCGUGCAGGAAGACGGCGCUAUGAGUGGUAAACUGCUUUGAAACGGGAACAAACGUCGGUACGUGUACCGGUCUGAGGGUACCGUAAGAAUAAGGAUCGGCUAACUCCGUG
rnacentral:rRNA from 1 species